UACAGAGGGUGCGAGCGUUGUUCGGAAUUACUGGGCGUAAAGCGCGCGCAGGCGGCCCUUUAAGUCUACCCGUGAAAUGCCGGAGCUCAACUCCGUGCACGCCGGGGGAUACUGGGGGGCUGGAGACAUGUAGAGGCAAGCGGAAUUCCGGGUGUAGCGGUGGAAUGCGUAGAUAUCAGGAGGAACACCUGCGGUGUAGACGGCUUACUGGACCGUAACUGACGCUGAGGCACGAAAGCGUGGGUAGCAAACAGG
rnacentral:rRNA from 1 species